rnacentral:rRNA from 1 species
GACGAACGCUGGCGGCGUGCUUAACACAUGCAAGUCGAACGGAAAGGCCCUGCUUGCAGGGUACUCGAGUGGCGAACGGGUGAGUAACACGUGGGUGAUCUGCCCUGCACUUCGGGCUAAGCGUGGGAAACUGGGUCUAAUACCGGAUAGGACCGCACCUUAGUGUGUGUGGUGGAAAGUUUUUUCGGUGUAGGAUGAGCUCGCGGCCUAUCAGCUUGUUGGUGGGGUAAUGGCCUACCAAGGCGGCGACGGGUAGCCGGCCUGAGAGGGUGUACGGCCACAUUGGGACUGAGAUACGGCCCAGACUCCUACGGGAGGCAGCAGUGGGGAAUAUUGCACAAUGGGCGCAAGCCUGAUGCAGCGACGCCGCGUGGGGGAUGAAGGCCUUCGGGUUGUAAACUCCUUUCGCUAGGGACGAAGCUUUUUGUGACGGUACCUAGAUAAGAAGCACCGGCUAACUACGUG